rnacentral:rRNA from 1 species
GAUUAACGCUAGCUACAGGCUUAACACAUGCAAGUCGAGGGGAAACGACAUCGGAAGCUUGCUUUUGAUGGGCGUCGACCGGCGCACGGGUGAGUAACGCGUAUCCAACCUGCCCACCACUUGGGGCUAACCUUGCGAACGUAAGACUCAUACCCAAUGAUAUCUCUAGAAGACAUCUGAAAGGGAUUAAAGAUUUAUCGGUGAUGGAUGGGGAUGCGCCUGAGUAGCUUGUUGGCGGGGUAACGGCCAACCAAGGCGACGAUCAGUAGGGGUUCUGAGAGGAAGGUCCCCCACAUUGGAACUGAGACACGGUCCAAACUCCUACGGGAGGCAGCAGUGAGGAAUAUUGGUCAAUGGACGAGAGUCUGAACCAGCCAAGUAGCGUGCAGGAUGACGGCCCUAUGGGUUGUAAACUGCUUUUAUAAGGGAAUAAAGUGAGUCUCAUGAGACUUUUGCAUGUACCUUAUGAAUAAGGACCGGCUAAUUCCGUGCCAGCAGCCGCAGUAA